rnacentral:rRNA from 1 species
GACGAACGCUGGCGGCGUGCUUAACACAUGCAAGUCGAACGGAAAGGCCCUGCUUUUGUGGGGUGCUCGAGUGGCGAACGGGUGAGUAACACGUGAGUAACCUGCCCUUGACUUUGGGAUAACUUCAGGAAACUGGGGCUAAUACCGGAUAGGAGCUCCUGCUGCAUGGUGUGGGUUGGAAAGUUUCGGCGGUUGGGGAUGGACUCGCGGCUUAUCAGCUUGUUGGUGGGGUAGUGGCUUACCAAGGCUUUGACGGGUAGCCGGCCUGAGAGGGUGACCGGCCACAUUGGGACUGAGAUAGGGCCCAGACUGCUACGGGAGGCAGCAGUGGGGAAUAUUGCACAAUGGGCGGAAGCCUGAUGCAGCAACGCCGCGUGCGGGAUGACGGCCUUCGGGUUGUAAACCGCUUUCGCCUGUGACGAAGCGUGAGUGACGGUAAUGGGUAAAGAAGCACCGGCUAACUACGUG